rnacentral:lncRNA from 1 species
UGAGACUUGGCGAAGUAGGAGCCCUGUGUGAUCGUGCGUCAGAGUCGGGGCUGAGACCAGCCCUGGCCAGGGCAGUUACCAGGACGGUCUCCGGAGGCCGGGAUUCGCGGAGGGUCCACCAGCAGGAAGAAACCCCAGGAGGAAGAAAACUCAGACAGAUCGCCGGGGAGGCAGCGCGGGAUCCCAGCCUCAGGCGUGCGCGGACGGUGUGCGGAUAUCAUGGAAAUCAGGACAGUAGCAGUUGGGAUUGUGGCAAUCAAAGGGGUGGAAAGUGAAUUCUAUCUUGCAACGAACGAGGAAGGAAAACUCUAUGCAAAGAAGGAAUGCAAUGAAGAUUGUAACUUCAAAGAUCUAAUUCUGGAAAACCAUUACAACACAUAUGCAGCAGCUAAAUGGACAAACAACGGAGGGGAAAUGUUUGUGGCCUUAAAUCAAAAGGGGAUUCCUGUAAGAGGAAAAAAAACAAAGAAAGAACAAAAAACAGCCCACUUUCUUCCUAUGGCAAUAACUUAAUUGCAUAUGGUAUAUAAAGAACCAGUUCCAGCAGGGAGAUUUCUUUAAGUGGACUGUUUUCUUUCUUCUCAAAAUUUUCUUUCCUUUUAUUUUCUAGUAAUCAAGAAAGGCUGGAAAACUACUGAAAAACUGAUCAAGCUGGACUUGCGCAUUUAUGUUUGUUUUAAGACACUGCAUUAAAGAGACAUUUGAAAAGUAUACACAAAAAUCAGAUUUAGUAACUAAAGGUUGUACAAAAUUGUAAAACUGGUUGUACAAUCAUGAUGUUAGUAAUAGUAAUUUUUUUCUUAAAUUAAUUUACCCUUAAGAGUAUGUUAGAUUUGAUUAUCUGAUAAUGAUUAUUUAAAUAUUCCUAUCUGCUUAUAAAAUGGCUGCUAUAAUAAUAAUAAUGCAGAUGAUGUUAUAUAAGGUAUAUCAGACCUACAGGCUGCUGGCAGGAUUUGUCAGAUAAUCAAGCCACACUAACUAUGGAAAAUGAGCAGCAUUUUAAAUGCUUUCUAGUGAAAAAUUAUAAUCUACUUAAACUCUAAUCAGAAAAAAAGAAUAUUCUCAAAAAAAUCUAUUAUGAAAGUCAAUAAAAUAGAUAAUUUAACAAAAGUACAGGAUUAGAACAUGCUUAUACCUAUUAACAAGAACAAAAUUUCUAAUGCUGCUCAAGUGGAAAGGGUAUUGCUAAAAGGAUGUUUCCAAAAAUCUUGUAUAUAAGAUAGCAACAGUGAUUGAUGAUAAUACUGUACUUCAUCUUACUUGCCACUAAAUAACAUUUUAUAAUUCC